rnacentral:rRNA from 1 species
UACAGAGGUCCCAAGCGUUGUUCGGAUUCACUGGGCGUAAAGGGUGCGUAGGCGGUCGGGGUAAGUCUGAUGUGAAAAUCUCACAGCUUAACUGUGAAAACUGCAUUGGAUACUAUUCGGCUAGAGAGUUGGAGGGGGGGGACUGGAAUUCUCGGUGUAGCAGUGAAAAUGCGUAGAUAUCAGAGGAACACCAGUGGCGAAGGCGAGUCC